rnacentral:rRNA from 1 species
UACGUAGGGUGCGAGCGUGUCCGGAAUUAUUGGGCGUAAAGAGCUUGUAGGCGGUUUGUCGCGUCUGCUGUGAAAAUCCGGGGCUCAACCCCGGACUUGCAGUGGGUACGGGCAGACUAGAGUGUGGUAGGGGAGACUGGAAUUCCUGGUGUAGCGGUGAAAUGCGCAGAUAUCAGGAGGAACACCGAUGGCGAAGGCAGGUCUCUGGGCCACUACUGACGCUGGAGAAGCGAAAUGCCAUGGGGAGCGAACAGGA